rnacentral:rRNA from 1 species
UACAGGGGGGGCAAGCGUUGUUCGGAAUUACUGGGCGUAAAGGGUUUGUAGGUGGCUUGCUCAGUCAGACGUGAAAUCCCUCAGCUUAACUGGGGAACUGCGUCUGAUACUAGCGAGCUUGAGUGCAGGAGAGGAACGCGGAAUUCCAGGUGUAGCGGUGAAAUGCGUAGAUAUCUGGAGGAACACCGGUGGCGAAGGCGGCGUUCUGGACUGGCAACUGACACUGAAAAACGAAAGCCAGGGGAGCAAACGGG